rnacentral:rRNA from 1 species
GGAGCGUGUUGUGAAGUCAGCGCGCGACACGUCUGGGGCACGACGUUGUCAAGUUUGGCC